UCAUUUGUCUUAGUUCCGAAACUUAACAACAAUUCCAAUCGUUUUUUGUAUUUCUUGGCUUUGAUUUUACUGUUUAUUGUUUAUUUUUUAUCUAAAACCUGUAUUAAACUUUCAUAUACUAGAAUCACAAAUGAACCUGAAAGCAAUUCAAAACUAAAGCCAUCGAAGUUUUCAAAAUGCCUUGAAUCCAAUUGGAACCCUAGGCAAACAACCCAUUUACGCGCGCCUAUACGUUGCUUGCCCAAUGGUGAAGAUAUAAUCAUUUCAAAUUUGUCAAACACCUCAUUUUGCGAUUCAAAACAAACCAAUGUACGAGUUUUGGUUAUUCAUAGUCGUAACAACAGCUCGCAACUAAGAAAAGCGAUUCGAAAUUCUUAUGCUGAUUUUACAAAAUACCCGAAAGAAAGUCUAAAUGGAAACUGGACGAAACUUUUCCUCGUCGGAAAACCGAAUUGUGAAGAAGAGAAGCUAAAAAUUGCAGACGAAAAUUUUGAGUUCGGUGAUAUUGUUGUUGCCAAUGUAGACGAAGGUUACUAUUAUCAACUAUCAUUGAAGUAUUUGAUUGGACUGAAGUUUGUUUCGUGUUUUUGCUCUCAUACUGAUUAUUAUGUGAAAGUUGACGACGAUACUUACUUGAGGUUAAAUAAGCUGGAUUUUAUACUAAAUCAUUACCAGAACAAGUAUAACGACCUAGUUAUCAGUUCAAACUCAACGUAUUUGAAACGAGAAGAGGAAAGAAACGAAAACAAUGCAAGAAUUUACACCGGGUCAAAAUGUAGCGAUGAUCACCCCAUUCACCGAAAGAAUCGGUCUAAACAUUUCGUUCCAUAUAACCAACUCGCCGGAAAAAAUUACCCGUUUUUCUGCUUUGGACCCGUGAACAUAUUUUCUAUGAGCGUUGUCCAUGAUUUGGCCAUAGACUGUCCACAUCACUGUGUAACAUCGUUAGAAGAAGAUUUUGAAGAAAACAAAAACAAAUAUUGUUGGAUGAAAUUCGACGACGUUUUCAUUGGAAAGGAUCUUUUCCA